AGGUUUCGUUUGCUUUCAUUACUAGAACAUAGACUUAGUAGCGGCCAUCGUGUUUGGAAAGCGUAAUAGCUCACUAGUUAAGCAAUACGAAGCUUCGAUAUGUUUGGUAUUUUUUAUAGCCGAAGCUCGCCGGUAACAU
rnacentral:rRNA from 1 species